rnacentral:rRNA from 1 species
CCUACGGGAGGCAGCAGUAGGGAAUAUUGCUCAAUGGGGGAAACCCUGAAGCAGCAACGCAGCGUGGAGGAUGAAGGUUUUAGGAUUGUAAACUCCUUUUGUGAGAGAAGAUAAUUACGGUAUCUCACGAAUACGCCCCGGCUACCUCCGUGCCAGCCGCCGCGGUCAUACGGAGGGUGCAAGCGUUACUCGGAAUCACUGGGCGUAAAGAGUGCGCAGGCGGGCUUGUAAGUCAGAUGUGAAAUCCUGUAGCUUAACUAAAGAACUGCAUUUGAAACUAGGAGUCUAGAGGGUGGGAGAGGUAGGUGGAAUUCUUGGUGUAGGGGUAAAAUCCGUAGAUAUCAAGAGGAAUACUCAUUGCGAAGGCGAACUACGGGAACAUUACUGACGCUCAUGCACGAAAGCGUGGGGAGCAAACAGGAUUAGAUACCCUAGUC